GUCCGCGUGGAGCAAUGCAGCUCACUCCCGCAUUAUAACCAGCGAUACUGUGUGGCCAGGGAGAGACGGUGGUUCGAGUCCGCCCGGGGAGA